ensembl:lncRNA
AAGGUGAGACUGAGCUCCAACUUUGGUUUUAGUAAACUAAUUUUUUUGAAUUUAAAAAAAAAAAGUUAUUGUUAAUGGAAACAACAAAAAUUCCAAAUCCAGAUGUAAUUAUAUCCAAGUUUGUAUAAUCCUACAGUUGGGGCAGUAACAUAGGAGAACAAAGGUGACAUUAGUCAUUUUGAGGAUUACCUGAACACUACUUUGGCUACUGGCUCAUGAUUCAGUUAAACAAGUUUGCUUUUCUUGAACUUGACUCUGUGCAUCCAGAAAUGUGAAGGAUAUGAAAGUGAAGGUAUGCAAAGUGGAGAUAUGAAAAUGCUCUGUAGCUACAGCAGUCUGCUGAGAAGAUACAUCUGUCACCACAGCUGUGCCUUCUGCUCCCCAUGAGCUGUAUCUGCUUGGCUGAGCUGAUUUCCUGUCUGUGCCAGCACUGCCUGGCUCUUCUCUAGGAGUGCUGAGGAAGAUCUGUGCUAGUAGAAUCAAAUUGGUGUGUUUAUUUCUCUGUCUCCCUCUGUUAAAAGCAAGAAAUUAAAUGAGCCUGAUCAUACCUGAGAUUCUGGAUGCCUAAAAUUUCACUGAAAAUGUUGAAAGGUCAGCACAAUAGCACUGUCUCUCUAUGCUUAGGGAGAGGCCUGUCCCAUACAUCCCGUGCUCCCGCAAGACGCCUACUACAACACUACCAAGACUGGCCUUCUUGUACCUGGAACAUCAUUCGAGGAUUUGAUUAUAGGAUUCUCACAAAAAUAUUGUUCUAAGGAUAUGUCAUUUUCAAUGUGUCACAAGCCAGAAACUCAUGAGAGGAGAGGAAAUCAUGACACCGAGAUCGGACAAUUACCUAGCAGAAGAGCAUAUUAAAACUGUCCUGGGUUUUUCUGUCUUUGUAUCUUUUUAAAAAAUGUCUUGCUUUCUUUUGUUUGUUUGUCUGUUUGACUGGCUUUUAAAACUGAUUGAAUUAAACCAGGUAGCUGGUCUGUACUACCAACAAUAUGUCUAUGAACUGAAGGAAUUAGCAUGGGAGCUGUAGUGGGGUUGAAAAAAUAAGAGACUGGUAAGAAAUCAACAUGGAAUACACAUUGAGAGUGGCUGGCAAUGACUAUGCGAUAUAUGGACUGGAAAGUAGAAAGAGAUGCUGAAAUGAUAUGAUCUGUGCAUCAACAAAGGGAAUGGCUAGCACAGAGGCUUUUGUUCACUUAUUAAACCUAAAAGAUAUACAUUCAGAUGCAAUAAAGGUGUUAGGAAGACAAUGGUUUAGAAUUAGAAAGGUGUGAGGGUAAAAACAGAACUUUCUCAAGCAUGGAUGAUGAAAAAUUUAGAAAAAAGUCUCAAAUGAUUUUAAGCUACAGGUACAUGAGCAUCAAGCAGUAUGAGAAUGUAGUUAGCUGUGAUUAUUAUAGGAAGUUGCGUAGAAAGCUUUCUUGGAUCGUACUGAAUUUAUCAGACAAGUUAUUCUAGAUUAUAUGUCAAAAGAACAGAAUGAGUGAGACCAAAACUCAGGCUUGUAGCAUAAAAGUGUUAAUCCUAAACAGUUAGUCUGAGUGUGGCAGACAAAAGUUCUUACAAAUAAAUACAGAUGUAAACAUGAAGAAAUGGGAGUCCUGAUGUAAUGGCCAGUAAUGAGGAAACAGAUCUGCCAGUGGGGCUGCUGACAGAGCAAUUUGAGAAAUGAGCAGUGCAGAACAGUCAUGGGGUCCAGGGAGAAACUGGCUGCCAAAUAGAAGGGAAAUGACUAAAUGUAAUAAGUACAACAGGAAGAUCAAAGUAGGCUUUGAGCCAGGUCAGAAACAGUUAGUCAGAGGAAAGCAACCAUGGCUUAUGUGCUGGACUGAGCAGUUAAUUCUGCAAUAAAGGUAACAACUGAGGUGUUAUAAACACUCUAAGAUUAAGAAGAAAAGAUACAGAUAGGAAUGUUCCCAUAAAGUUUCUCAUGCAGGAGAGCAGUUCUCCAUUAAAUCUCAGUGGGUUUUCAUCAUUAUCUUUGAUAUUUGUUAGCAAUUUUUUUUUCUCCUGACCUGUGCUCUACUGAUUUGGUGCACAGGGAUUUUCUAUUCCAGCAGUUUCUCAUGACAGUGUGAAAGGUUCAUCUCAAUGUGUGAUGGUAGCUUUUUAUUCUUGUAGCAAUGCCCUUGGGUUGCUAAUGGAUCAUUUACACAUCUGAGAAUGUUGUUAAGAAGCUGCUGAGGUAGAAUGGGAUUCCAGCUGUAGCAGCUACCUACUGCUCUUAUUUCUUAUGAUAGGCUCCUGAGAGUUGCACAACUGCCUAUUAGCAAGUUGAUGAUGGAUGGAACAGCUGUACUUUUACAAGCAAUGAUAAGCUUGAGACUCCUAAAUUAGUUAGAGAAGAGUAAUUCAAAAAUUUAAAAACAGACCUUGAACCAGGAUCUUUUUACAGGAUAAUUCUACAAGCUAUACAACAGGUUGGUGAUUGAAAGCUCUGUGUGUUCUUCAGUCCCUUCUUAUGAUUCUCCAUCUUUGUUGAAACCAAAUAGCCCAAAUCUCAGGCCAGUUUACCACACUGCUGUAAUUAUGUGCUUUAAUCUUUCUUUUAUCUCAUGGAUGGUCUUCAGAAGUUGUGUGUUUCUCACUGAUCCCUUAGUGUAUAUAGCUAUUUUCUUCUUCAAAGUCACUUAAAUUUAUUUGUUCUGGAAAGAAGAAAGGAAUGGAACGGGAAGGAAAGGGAAGGCUACUCCUAGGUAUAGGAGAUAUCAGAUACAUCUUUCUUUUCAUUUUGAAAAUCCUUUGAAGAAUUUCUUGGAGUUUCAUUCUAAAAAUAAUGAUGCCUAAUCUUCUCCAGGUCAGGAAAUAGAAGCAAAAAAAAUGGACUUUCAAAUAUGUACAAAGUAAGAACUCAUAGGAGAGCAAAAUAAAUUUAGUAGUCCUAUUUUCAAAAUCAGCAGACAUCAGACAUCAAAGCAAUUAACAAUUGCUUUGAACAGACAGAUGAUUAGUGGGGGAGUACAUGGAGUACCUGUUUCACUUAAUACUUAAGUUGUUAGUUUUUUCAUAGAACCAGUGUCUAUGUGAAAAUGUGACAAAGUCACAUGUGGCAUAAAAGUUGAACUACAUUAGUAAUCACUUUUUAUUACUAUCCAGAGUCUUGUAUCUGAAGUUCAACAGCAUUACUAUGAGUAUAGCAGCUCAGCCAAAGGAAAAUGAAGCAGUUAACAUGGCACUAUCCUGACGCUCACAAAGCCACUUUCUAUUUCUAUUCUUGAUGUCUUAUUUUUUCUACAAGCUGUGCAGUCACUGUCUUCUUUCAUUCAUGUAUUUACAGAGUGCAAACCUUACAAAACAUGUACUGUCACUGUGUAUUUGUACUGAAUCUAGGACAAUAUUGCUUUACUUUCUCAGAGGUAUAUGUAGGCCAUUAUAAUCUUGAAAAAAUGUUUCCAUUAAACACUGAUAGAGAUUCUAUUAAUCUUUCCCUAAGAAUUCUACUGAUGACUUCUCUAUCCCAUUUAUUCAUACAAUGUAGGUUGCUCCAAAAACAAUGUCUCCUAUUUAUUUCCAUGGAAACCACAACAGAUAUAAUGGGCGCAAUAACACCAUUUGAUAAAGCAAAUUCUCAACUACAAACACUAUUUUUCAACAUACUUACCACCAUUAGCUGUGUAUUUUGCAUUCAUAAAAAUCUUCACCAAUGGAGAUGGCCCACUGUCACAUCUGCCAAUGCUAAAACGUAUCCCCCCCCUCCCCCACCUCACAGUGCCCACACUUGUUGGUCUCCAUAAAUGUUCAAGUGUCAAUAAAUGUCAGUAUGUGCAAUUUUUCUACAUAGAGGAAUUCUAUGGCACACUUUUGUUUCAUACACACUUCCAUGUCAACUAUUUAUUUUUACUAUUCCAAUGACUCUGUAUUUUUGUAGUAAAGUAGCAGCACUAUCACUGGAAAGAGAAAAGUAAUAAUAACAGGUAAAAUAUUACUUCAAUUUUUUUUCAUAAUUAUCACAAUCAUGUUUUUACUGGAGGAGUGAAGAAUAAUGCCAAGUAGUAGCAUUUCCUGUGAACAAAGAACAGCAAAUGUGUCUCAUUCUCAGAGCUAUUGUUACACAUUACUAUGGCUAUUUUAAGAUUAAACCAUAGAAUAUAGGAGUACAUUUAAGCAAAUAUCAUACCUAAAAAGAAUUUUUUGGCUUGUGAAAAAAGCUGUUGAGUUCAAAUUUAGAGGCAGACUGAAAUACAAUUUUGAAUUAGAAUGGCUGAGUUUUAAAGGAAAACAUAUUCAUAUACUGUUCAGAAUAUCCAUCCAAGAACUCUACUAAUUAAUGUGAUUUAACUGUAGAGCUUUUUGACCCCACUUCAUACAUAAACACAUACAAAUCUUGAGUUCAUAAGUGCAGUGAGAAAAUGCCUAAUUCUAAUAGUUAAUAUAGCUUUUUUUAAUGACAUAAAUAUAUUUGCAUAGAAGAUGCAGUUAUAAUUUCUCAGUGCCACUUCAAUCUUGGUUUAAAUGUUGUUUAUUUUAUUGAUCAAUUGUUUUUUCCAGUGUUGUUACAAGAAAAUGAAUUUAGAAACCAAUGUUGAAAAUGGAGAUCAAAUUAAAAAUAUAGUCUUCAUAUUGAGUUAUUCUUGCCAUUGUAAUUUUUUUUUUUUUUCCAGCAAUGCAAUUGUAAGUAUGGUUAAUGAUAUAUGUAGUUUUGUUAGGAAAACAUGUACUUAUUUUAUAUAUUUUAUAGAUAUGGAAAGAAGAUGUCAAUGAGCCACUGUUUUCAGUCUAUCUUCAGAACAACUUAUUGUUCUGCUUUAGCCAACUCCAGAUGUGGAAAAAUCUAAACUGUGAUUUCCUCCACUCUUACACGAUGUUGAUGCAAAUCUUCAGGCCAUUCUGUUUACCCAUUUGGCAAGGUAUUCUUGUUCAAAAUAAUCUUAAUUGCCCUUAAGAUUCAACAUAUAAAUUGAAAUUAAUUACUGAAGCGGAAGUGCUUGUAUUGUCUAUGUUCCACAUAAGAAUGUCUUACUGGUAAACACCUUUCCUUGAUAAAAUAUUCCAAAAUAUAUUGGAGAGCAGAAUUUGGUACAGAUUACUCAGAUUUUGGGAUGAAGUUGUUUAAAACAUUCAGCUAUUUUGGGACAUGAUCUGUUGACAUGCUUUUUUGUAUGGUGAAUUGGUGUGAUAACAGAGUUGGAAAAUCACUUUCUGGUAAUGUGGAAGUGGUCACAGAUACGUCAUCUCAUACCUUUAUGGAAAAACAGCACUAUUUGCAUUCCUGUCUGUCUUCAAGAAGACUAAUUAGCACACUAAUGACGGUAACAGACUCUCUGAUUUCCUUUGGGUUUACAAAGGAGUCAAAGGGAAAGUUAGUGUAAUUCAUGUAUUAUUAUUUUCCUUUUGCUGAAAGUCCAUAACAAAAUGCAAAGACAUACAUAUGUGUGUGAAAAUUUGAAUAUAGAUCAUAUGUAAUUAAAUUAAAACUUUUAUUUGACAUUUGUCUUGCAAACUUUUGUUUUCUUUAUUAAAAGUUCCUCUACUGUAAAUAACAUGUUUUUGCCUUUAAUACCUCUUACAUGUGUAGUACUUUGUUAUACAUAUACAUCUGUAUAUUUAGUCUAAUUUCAUUUUCAUCACGGAUUUCCUAUAAUAAAUCCUAUAUGUAGGACUUACUGUAAAAGAUUUUUUCUUUCUGAGAUCAUUAUUUCAAAGUGUAUAAUGGCGUUAGGCCCAGCUCUGUUGAGCUUCCAUUUGCACACAUUUAUAACUAUCCUCUCAAGCAUAAACACGUGUCUGCAUGUUCUUGACAGUACAGAUAACAAAUUUUAACAGAUUUUUCAGGUUAUACACAUGAUCUACGUAUUUCA